UACGGAGGGAGCUAGCGUUGUUCGGAAAUACUGGGCGUAAAGCGCACGUAGGCGGCGCAGCAAGUCAGGGGUGAAAUCCCGGGGCUCAACCCCCGGAACUGCCUCUGAAACUGCAGUGCUAGAAUCUUGGAGAGGCGAGUGGAAUUCCGAGUGUAGAGGUGAAAUGCGUAGAUAUCGGGAGGAACACCAGUGGCGAAGGCGACUACCUGGCCUGUUCUUGACGCUGAGGCGCGAAAGCUAGGGGAGCAAACGGGG
rnacentral:rRNA from 1 species